rfam:Pongo abelii chromosome 20.
GCCGGGCAUGGUGGCACAUGCCUGUAAUCCCAGGUACUUGGGAGGCUGAGGCAGGAGAAUCGCUUGAACCCAAGAGGCAGAGGUUGCAGUGAGCUGAGAUUGCGCCACUGCACUCCAGCCUGGGUGACAGAGCGAGACUCUGUCUCCA